rnacentral:rRNA from 1 species
GAUGAACGCUGGCGGCGUGCCUAAUACAUGCAAGUCGAGCGAACAGACGAGAGUGCUUGCACUCUCUGACGUUAGCGGCGGACGGGUGAGUAACACGUGGGUAACCUACCUAUAAGACUGGGAUAACUUCGGGAAACCGGAGCUAAUACCGGAUAAUAUUUAGCUUCGCAUGAAGCAAUAGUGAAAGACGGUUCUGCUGUCACUUAUAGAUGGACCCGCGGUGUAUUAGCUAGUUGGUGAGGUAACGGCUCACCAAGGCAACGAUACAUAGCCGACCUGAGAGGGUGAUCGCCCACACUGGGACUGGGACACGGCCCAGACUCCUACGGGAGGCAGCAGUAGGGAAUCUUCCGCAAUGGACGAAAGUCUGACGGAGCAAUGCCGCGUGAGUGAAGAAGGUUUUCGGAUCGUAAAACUCUGUUGUAAGGGAAGAACAAGUACGUUAGUAACUGAACGUACCUUGACGGUACCUUACCAGAAAGCCACGGCUAACUACGUG